CUGCAGAGAGAGGGAACAGCCAUGAGUCUACUGUGAUAAUGGAUAGGAGGACAGACAGGAACAGAAAUCAAAGAUGUGGAAACUACAACAGCGUCUUGGAGCAUGAGUAUGAUGUGGUGGAUGACCAAGAGGAAGUGUUGAGCGUGCGCAUACUUCCUGCAAGGCCCAUAAAUGAUGAGCGAGAGUAUGCAGACAGGGAUCUUCCAAGGUCAUCAUCAGCUCAGAGCCCUUCAUCACUCUCCACUGGGAACUCCAGAAUCCUCCCUAGAGUCAUCCCAAUCAAUACAGGGCCUGCUAUAAAUAGAGACCUGAAACCAGGCAGAAAAAAGACAAGAUUAGGUAAGACCAUUUAA
ensembl:lncRNA